rnacentral:rRNA from 1 species
GAUGAACGCUGGCGGCGUGCCUAAUACAUGCAAGUCGAGCGAACAGACGAUGAGCUUGCUCCUCUGACGUUAGCGGCGGACGGGUGAGUAACACGUGGAUAACCUACCUAUAAGACUGGGAUAACUUCGGGAAACCGGAGCUAAUACCGGAUAAUAUAUUGAACCGCAUGGUUCAAUAGUGAAAGACGGUUUUGCUGUCACUUAUAGAUGGAUCCGCGCCGCAUUAGCUAGUUGGUAAGGUAACGGCUUACCAAGGCAACGAUGCGUAGCCGACCUGAGAGGGUGAUCGGCCACACUGGAACUGAGACACGGUCCAGACUCCUACGGGAGGCAGCAGUAGGGAAUCUUCCGCAAUGGGCGCAAGCCUGACGGAGCAACGCCGCGUGAGUGAUGAAGGUCUUCGGAUCGUAAAACUCUGUUAUUAGGGAAGAACAACUGUGUAAGUAACUAUGCACGUCUUGACGGUACCUAAUCAGAAAGCAACGGCUAACUACGUG